UACAGAGGGUGCAAGCGUUGUUCGGAAUUAUUGGGCGUAAAGGGCGCGUAGGCGGUGAGAUGCGUCCGUUGUGAAAUCGCCCGGCUCAACUGGGCGGGGUCAGCGGAUACGGUCUCACUUGAGCAAGCUAGGGGGCAAUGGAAUUCCCGGUGUAGUGGUGGAAUGCGUAGAUAUUGGGAGGAACACCAGUGGCGAAGGCGGCUCACUGGACCGGUUCCGACGCUGAAGCGCGAAAGCGUGGGGAGCAAACGGG
rnacentral:rRNA from 1 species